CGGGACGGGUGAGUAACGCGUGGAUAACCUGCCGUAUGCAGGGGGAUAACAGCCGGAAACGGCUGCUAAUACCGCAUAAGCGCACGGUGCCGCAUGGCACAGUGUGAAAAGGGAUACCGGCAUACGAUGGGUCCGCGUCCGAUUAGCCAGUUGGCGGGGUAGUGGCCCACCAAAGCGACGAUCGGUAGCCGGCCUGAGAGGGUGGACGGCCACAUUGGGACUGAGACACGGCCCAGACUCCUACGGAAGGCAGCAG
rnacentral:rRNA from 1 species